GAUCCUGGCUCAGGACGAACGCUGGCGGCGUGCUUUAUACAUGCAAGUCGAACGAGAAGCUGACUUCGGUCAGUGGAAAGUGGCGGACGGGUGAGUAAAAUGUAGAGAAUCUGCCCUUGAGCGGGGGGAUAACAGUCGGAAACGAUUGCUAAUACCCCAUAUGAGGUGAGUUGAAAUACUUAUCUUGAAAACUCCGGUGCUCAAGGAUGAGUCUGCAUCUGAUUAGCUAGUUGGUGG
rnacentral:rRNA from 1 species